rnacentral:rRNA from 1 species
UGCGUAGGUGGUUUCUUAAGUCAGAGGUGAAAGGCUACGGCUCAACCGUAGUAAGCCUUUGAAACUGGGAAACUUGAGUGCAGGAGAGGAGAGUGGAAUUCCUAGUGUAGCGGUGAAAUGCGUAGAUAUUAGGAGGAACACCAGUUGCGAAGGCGGCUCUCUGGCCUGUAACUGACACUGAGGCUCGAAAGCGUGGGGAGCAAACA